rnacentral:lncRNA from 1 species
GUGAAGCAAGACUCCAAGGAAGAGAGAUUGACGCAUCGGGAGCGAAGAACAGAAACGAUGGAUGGUUACGCUGCUUGGGUCUCGCCACGUUCGAAUUGGCAAAGUUCCGAAUUUGUCGCUGUAUUUUGUACGCUUGUGCGCUCGUCAUUUGCCGUCAUCGCGCGGAGAUAUUUGCGCUGGAUGUCUUUCACUUCGUGUACAAAACUCUGCACGCUGCGGCAUCGAAGGAGUUGUCCUGUGUUUGGGUGCACGUAUGCGCUUGGACACGGAUAUAUCCUGCUUGCCCUCAACGGGUGUUCAACAGUCUACGCGCACUCGUAACUUGCUCAUGAGGCAAGUUGCUGUUGUGCUGGAGCUGAGAAGAGGUCUGCUGCCUGCAAUGGGUCCAUCUCUCUCAAGUUAUCGCAGUAUUGUAGCUCUCAAAGUUCAAAAAAGUAUGGUGGAAGCUGUUGCCAAGGUUCCGACCAGAAAAGACAGCCAGUAUAAAAGGGUCCACACCACUGAUCUCUACUACAG